AUUGAACGCUGGCGGAAUGCUUUACACAUGCAAGUCGAACGGUAGAGGGGGCAACCCCUCGAGAGUGGCGAACGGGUGAGUAAUAUAUCGGAACGUGCCCAGUCGUGGGGGAUAACGUAGCGAAAGUUACGCUAAUACCGCAUACGAUCUAAGGAUGAAAGCGGGGGAUCGCAAGACCUCGCGCGAUUGGAGCGGCCGAUAUCAGAUUAGGUAGUUGGUGGGGUAAAGGCUCACCAAGCCAACGAUCUGUAGCUGGUCUGAGAGGACGACCAGCCACACGGGAACUGAGACACGGUCCAGACUCCUACGGGAGGCAGCGGUGGGGAAUUUUGGACAAGGGACGCAAGUCUGAUUCAGCCAUUCCGCGUGCAGGAUGAAGGCCCUCGGGUUGUAAACUGCUUUUGUACGGAACGAAAAGGUCUCUCUUAAUACGGGGGGCUCAUGACGGUACCGUAAGAAUAAGCACCGGCUAACUACGUGCCAGCCGCCGCCGUAA
rnacentral:rRNA from 1 species